GGAUGUGGAGGAGGAGGAAGAUGUGGAGGUGGAGGAGGAGGUGGAGGAAGAGAAGGAGGAGGAGGUGGAGGAAGGAAAUCAGCGAUAGUAAUCGCGUUACAUGAGUAGGAUGUGUUUCCAUACAGCGGGUACUUUACAGCAAUAACACACGUCAUCAGCAACUUCAGACCAACCUGAAACCACUGGCACACCUAAUGAAAUACUAGCACACAUAUAGAACCAUUGCAAGACAACAAGGUGACACGGGAGAAAGUCUCACACAAAGUUUUACUCUAUCCCAAGAACCAAUGUUCAAAAGUUAAAUUGUAUUACGUUCAAAAACCUCUAGGGUAAUUUUUAUUUUUAUAUUUUUUAUUGAGCACAAACACAAUUUCUUUAUUUAUUUUUUUGUUCCAGAAUAUACAUCUGACAUGGCAAAACACUGUGAUACAUCUGACAUGGUAAAACACUGUGAACUUUCAGUUUAUGCAAAUACAGUUGUGUUUGUGUGACAGUGGUGUUUCGGGGGUAAUAGCUUCUAACUGGCUCUCAGUUCAAACACAUUAGCUUGGUCUGAAAUCAACACCGUCACAGUGUAGCCUGGUUCUACGUAAAAUAACUGGAGUACUAUUAGUAUAUUACUGUUCAUUCUCUAAAAAAAUACAAUAGCAUAUUCUAUUCUCUGCAAGAUGAAUGUUAGAUAGUUUGAUUUGAAACUCUUUAUAGCAAUAUAAUUCUAAAAACCAUGUUCAGAAAUGUGUAAAUAAGACAUAGAAAGGUGUGGGUUGUCCUGGAGAAAGGAUCCUGGCCACCCUCUAGCUGUGAUCAAAACAUCUGAACAAAAUCACAUUUCUAAAAUGCAUCAUCAAGAAAUACAUUUUGUGAGGCUGUUUGCUCUUCACAUUUGUUGAGGACUGCCCUGGUUGGUGUGUGAUUGUCAUAUUGGUGUAUUGGACCUUCAAGUCUGAGGAAGUCCUUCCCUUCCUACCGUGUGAUCCCUUUAACUUAUGUUAUACGCCACAAAGCAUUAUGGACCUCAAUAGACCUCUGAGUGGAGCUAUUUCACAUACAGAUAUGGAGAGUAAAUGGCAAGUCAUCAUUGGGAUGUAAACUGGGAAAGUUUCACCAUUAACUUCCCAGCAGACAAAAUGGAUGCCGAAUGUAAAUGUUGUCGUGAAAACAAAUGAACAUUAACUGUAUGGUAUGAUGUCAUUAACUGUAUGGUAUAAUGGUAUAAUGUAAUUAACUGUAUGGUACGAUGUCAUUAACUGUAUCGUAUAACGUAAUUAACUGUAUGGUAUGAUGUCAUUAACUGUAUGGUAUGAUGUUAUUAACUGUGGUAUGAUGUCAUUAACUGUAUGGUAUGAUGUCAUUAACUGUAUGGUAAGCUCUGUCUUUGGCAUCAUACCAUCAUCAACUACCAGUCAAUUAUUAGAAGAAGAAAACAAAUGUAUGGAGCAAAUAUAUUUGUUUCAAAAAUAAAAUACAUGAUUUAAAAAGACACGAUUUUCUAAAAUCUUAAAACAGUACUUCGAUUGGAUUUAGAGCCCUUAGCUUGAAGUUAUAUACUAUGGUGGUGACAACAUUCACUGUUAGUAAUCCAAAAUAACCAAAUCAGUCCUAAUUGUAGAUAUUUUUGUGAGGAGGGAUCCAGGACAAACUGCCAAUUAUCCCAUUGAUAUCUUGUAAUUCACUAUCAUUAGAGGGAUAGUCAAUAUGUAUUAUUAAAACCAAUAAUGACAGAAAUAAAAUGUCAUGUAUUUUCACCAUCACACACGCAAUCACACAUAUAUGUAAGUAGUUAUAAAGAAGCAAGCAAAUGAUUAUUAACAAACAUAAAACAAAAAGCCAUACAUACAAAAGUGUAUACCAAUCAAGAGAAAAUAGGUCCCUAUCACUGUGGAAAGAGAAAAUAGGUCCCUAUCACUGUGGGAAGAGACAAGAGGUCACUCUCACUGUGGGAAGAGACAAGAGAUCCCUAUCACUGUGGGAAGAGAAAAGAGGUCCCUAUCACUGUGGGAAGAGAAAAGAGGUCCCUAUCACUGUGGGAAGAGAAAAGAGGUCACUAUCACUGUGGGAAGAGAAAAGAGGUCCCUAUCACUGUUAGAAGAGACAAGAGGUCACUAUCACUGUGGGAAGAGAAAGGAGGUCCCUAUCACUGUGGGAAGAGAAAAUAGGUCACUAUCACUGUGGGAAGAGAAAGGAGGUCCCUAUCACUGUGGGAAGAGAAAAUAGGUCACUAUCACUGUGGGAAGAGCAAAGAGGUCACUAUCACUGUGGGAAGAGAAAAGAGGUCACUAUCACUGUGGGAAGAGAAAAUAGGUCCCUAUCACUGUGGGAAGAGACAAGAGGUCACUAUCACUGUGGGAAUAGAAAAGAGGUCCCUAUCACUGUGGGAAGAGAAAAUAGGUCACUAUCACUGUGGGAAGAGAAAAGAUGUCCCUAUCACCGUGGGAAGAGAAAAUAGGUCCCUAUCACUGUGGG